rnacentral:rRNA from 1 species
AACGAGCGCUGGCGGCAUGCCUAACACAUGCAAGUCGAACGAGACCUUCGGGUCUAGUGGCGCACGGGUGCGUAACGCGUGGGAACCUGCCCUUAGGUUCGGAAUAACUCCCCGAAAGGGGUGCUAAUACCGGAUAAUGUCUUCGGACCAAAGAUUUAUCGCCUUUGGAUGGGCCCGCGUUGGAUUAGCUAGUUGGUAGGGUAAAAGCCUACCAAGGAGACGAUCCAUAGCUGGUCUGAGAGGAUGAUCAGCCACGCUGGGACUGAGACACGGCCCAGAAUCCUACGGGAGGCAGCAGUGGGGAAUAUUGGACAAUGGGCGAAAGCCUGAUACAGCAAUGCCGCGGGAGUGAUGAAGGCCGUAGGGUUGUAAAGCUCUUUGACCCGGGAUGAUAAUGACAGUACCGGGAGAAUAAGCACCGGCUAACUCCGUG